CUUAUUUCUCAACAAGAUAAUUGGUUUCUAUGUACCCCUGUUACUGCAGCCUGCUCACAUAUUUGUAUAUCUGGGUGGACGGCUGGGAUUAAGAACCGAUUAAGGGAUGGAGUGCGAAGUUUCAUCAACAGUGAUAGAAAUAUCAGUGUAAAUUGACAGCUUUGGUUGCUAAAUAUAAUCCCUGUUGGUCAGUAGUGUGUGUACAACAGUGGUCAGAAAUUGUUCCGUAGCCGUGGGGUCAGUCACGAAGUUUGACAGCUGGUCAUUUACAAACACGUGAUUGACAGCUGACUGGACAGUCCUGGAGCAGUUAAAUGAUUUGCAGUUUCCCAUCGAUGUUGAUUCUGCCGAGCAAGAUCACGACUUUUUGGAUCGAGAUUCCAUCCAGUCUUUGUUCAGGCGAUUAAACAUUCUGAACAAAUGUGCCAGUAUGAAGAUUGAAACACCACCUCGGCAGACGGUAAGUUCAGUGCGAGAUG